rnacentral:misc_RNA from 1 species
CUCCAAGUCAUGACGUCACACAAAGAGUUUGUUUUUCCCUAAUCAGUGAAUCAUCCAGCAAGCAAAAAUUAUAGUAAAUAGUAGAUACGGAAAUUAGCUACAGGUGACAAGAUGUUCUCCAGUGGCCCCAACUAUAACAAGCUUAAGACGAAUCUACGCUUAGCGCAGAAUCGUCUCAAAUUGUUGGAAAAAAAGAAGGCGGAGCUGACACAGAAGUCCCGCAAGGAGAUCGCCGAUUACCUCGCGACGGGUAAAAUAGAAAGGGCACGCAUUAGAGUGGAGCAUAUUAUACGCGAGGACUACCUGGUGGAGGCCAUGGAAAUUGUUGAGAUGUACUGCGAUCUGUUGCUUGCUCGCUUUGGCCUGAUCCAGCAAAUGAAAGAACUGGAUGCUGGCAUAGCCGAGCCUGUGUCCAGUUUGGUGUGGGUCUGUCCCCGUUUGCAGAGCGAUAUUGGCGAAUUGAAAAUCAUCUCCGACAUCUUCAUCCAAAAGUAUGGGCCAGAGUUUGCAGAGCAUGCACGGACUGCCACUGGCGAGCAUUACGUUUCAGAGAAACUGAUGCAUAAGCUGACACUGCAGGCACCGCCCAAGUUGCUCGUGGAGAACUACUUGAUAGCCAUUGCCAAGAACUACAACAUUGAAUACGAGCCAGAUCCACAAGUAAUGCAGGAGCAAGAGAAGCCCGAUCAGCAGCAGCAUCAUCUGAUCGAUUUGUCAGACCGUAAUAAUCUAAGUGGCGGAGGCGGUGCCCCUGCACCACCUCAAAUGGGCUUCAUUGGCUAUCCGCCAAUGCCACAGCUGCCAGACAUGCCAGCGCCUCCCAGCAGCAAGCCAUUCAAUUAUCCACCCUUCGGUGGUAGUGGUGGUGCUGGUGGAAGUGGAGGUGGAGGUGGAGGAGGGGCAUGUGCCGCUGCAGGUGCAGUGCAGCCACCGCCUCCAUUCGCAUAUAAUAUACCGCCCAAUCAGCCGCCACCAACGACUUCCGCGCAGGGCAAAUGCGCUGAGCAAAAGGAUUUGAAUACGAAUUUCAUCAAUCACGAAAAUAUAACUAAGAAUGAGCAAUCGGAUGGCUCUGGCAGUCCGGAUGAAAAUGUUUUGAGUAAUCAAUUGUAAUGAGUCAUGUCAUGGUCGUGGUAUCUGCUUUUUACUCUUCCUGCUUGUGAUAUAUCGCCCCAAACCGCAUAACGAUCCACCGCCACGUUACUCCUCGAUUAAUCCUGUUAAUUUGCAG